rnacentral:rRNA from 1 species
GACGAACGCUGGCGGCGUGCCUAAUACAUGCAAGUCGAACGCAGUGGGGACGGGUGAGUAACACGUGGGUAACCUCCCAUCAGAGGGGAUAACACUUGGAAACAGGUGCUAAACCGAUACUGAUGGAUGACACCGCGGUGCAUUAGCUAGUUGGUGAGGUAACGGCGCACCAAGGCCACGAUGCAUAGACUACCUGAGAGGGGGAUCGGCCCCACUGGGACUGCGACACGGCCCAGACUCUUACGGGAGGCAGCAGUAGGGAAUCUUCGGCAAUGGACGACAGUCGGAACGAGCAACGCCGCGUGAGUGAAGAGGGUUUUCGGAUCGUAAAACUCUGUUGUUAGAGAAUCGGUAUCUAACCAGAAAGCCACGGCUAACUACGUGCCAGCAGCCGCGGUAAUUC